rnacentral:rRNA from 1 species
UACGAAGGGGGCUAGCGUUGCUCGGAAUUACUGGGCGUAAAGCGCGCGUAGGCGGGUCUGUAAGUCGAUUGUGAAAUACCUGGGCUUAACCCGGGAAUGGCAGUCGAAACUGCAGAUCUUGAAUGUCUGAGAGGAUGGCGGAAUAACCGGUGUAGUAGUGAAAUACGUAGAUAUCGGUUAGAACACCUGAGGCGAAGGCGGCUAUCUGGCGGUACAUUGACGCUGAUGCGCGAAAGCGUGGGGAGCAAACAGG